rnacentral:rRNA from 1 species
GAUCCUGGCUCAGGACGAACGCUGGCGGCGUGCCUAACACAUGCAAGUCGAGCGGGGAAUGAUUGGUAGCUUGCUACCGGUCAUUUCUAGCGGCGGACGGGUGAGUAACGCGUGAGCAACCUGCCUUUAUCAGGGGGAUAACGCAUCGAAAGAUGUGCUAAUACCGCGUAAGACCACAGCUUCACAUGGAGCAGGGGUCAAAGGAGCAAUCCGGAUAAAGAUGGGCUCGCGUCCG